rnacentral:misc_RNA from 1 species
GAUGAAGAACGUAGCGAAAUGCGAUAAGUAACGUGAAUUGCAGAAUUCAGUGAAUCAUCGAAUCUUUGAACGCACAUUGCGCCCAUUAGUAUUCUAGUGGGCAUGCCUGUUCGAGCGUCAUUAAUUCCACUUAAGCCCUGCUUAGUGUUGGGAAUCUACUCUAGUGGUGCUACCCUGGAGCUACCCCUGAAAGGGGGCUGGCCCGGUAGCUACCCUGUAGUUCCUCAAAGAUAGUGCGCGGAGUUGCGUGGUCCUCUGAGCUUAGUAACUAUACACCUAGCUUUUGAGUGUCCCGCGGCGCCUGCCGUUUAAACCCCAUCUUUUAAUGGUUGACCUCGGAUCAGGUAGGAAUACCCGCUGAACUUAAGCAUAUCAAUAGCGGAGGA